UAGUGAGUUUGAUCCUGGCUCAGGGUGAACGCUGGCGGCGUGCCUAAGACAUGCAAGUCGAACGCAGUAGCUUGCUACUGAGUGGCGCACGGGUGAGUAACACGUAACUGACCUACCCCGUAGUCCCGCACAACGGUCCGAAAGGACCGCUAAUUCGGGAUGUGAACCCGCACCGUGGUGUGUGUUCAAAGAUUCAUCGCUAUGGGAUGGGGGUUGCGGCGCAUCAGCUCGUUGGUGAGGUAAC
rnacentral:rRNA from 1 species